UUGGGCAGGAACCACAGGAGUAGUGUACUUCAAGAACCGAUCUAAAUUCGUGGAAUUACACUCGCCCUCAACCCGGCCCGAAACCGAACAACAACAAUUUGACGUGAACGACGACGAAGACACUGAGCCACAUUGAUCGGAAUCCGUUCUCUUCUCGCUCUCCACCGUACAAUUCUUGGAAAUCGACGACCCCUGCUGCUGCUGCUGCUUUCGCAUAGCCGGAGAAACAUAGAAUCGGUUCUCACCGCGAGCUCGGGCAAUCGAAACCCCACCGGACCCUGACAUUGUACGAACCCCACGAAGAAUCCAACAAAGGCUAUGUCGUUGAGGAAGAAAUUGGAUGCGAUGUUUUCACUUAUCAGUUGGUGGUGUGUUUAGAAAACAGAUGGGUUAGAAAUAUACAAAAUCACUAUGUUCUCCCUAUGUGGGUAUAUCUGAAUAGGGCAAGAAGAGUGUGCAUGUGAAAAAGGGUAAGUGUGACAGGUGUGGUGCUUCCUUCAGCAAGAAGAAGCUGAGAUUUUUUUAGCUCUGUGGGUGUCACUGUGAAAUUGGGCUAGAAAGGACAGGUGAGGAGAAGAAUCCAGAAAGUUUU
rnacentral:misc_RNA from 1 species